GAUGAACGCUAGCUACAGGCUUAACACAUGCAAGUCGAGGGGCAGCACUAGGUAGCAAUACUGAGGUGGCGACCGGCGCACGGGUGCGUAACGCGUAUCCAACCUUCCCGUUACUCUUGGAUAGCCUUCCGAAAGGGAGAUUAAUACAAGAUGGUGUUUCAAUUCCGCAUGUUAUUGAAACUAAAGAUUUAUCGGUAUCGGAUGGGGAUGCGUGACAUUAGAUAGUAGGCGGGGUAACGGCCCACCUAGUCUACGAUGUCUAGGGGUUCUGAGAGGAAGGUCCCCCACACUGGAACUGAGACACGGUCCAGACUCCUACGGGAGGCAGCAGUGAGGAAUAUUGGUCAAUGGUCGGAAGACUGAACCAGCCAAGUAGCGUGAAGGAUGAAGGUUCUAUGGAUUGUAAACUUCUUUUAUACGGGAAUAAAACACCUUACGUGUAGGGUCUUGUAUGUACCGUGUGAAUAAGCAUCGGCUAACUCCGUGCCAGCAGCCGCCGUAACAC
rnacentral:rRNA from 1 species